UUUCAGCUAAUGAGUCCUAAAUAGGACGAAACGCGCGUCCUGGAU
rnacentral:hammerhead_ribozyme from 1 species